rnacentral:rRNA from 1 species
AUUGAACGCUGGCGGCAGGCCUAACACAUGCAAGUCGAACGAGUGGCGGACGGGUGAGUAAUGUCUGGGAAACUGCCCGAUGGAGGGGGAUAACUAAUGGAAACGGUAGCUAAUACCGCAUACCAUCGGAUGUGCCCAGAUGGGAUUAGCUAGUAGGUGGGGUAACGGCUCACCUAGGAGACGAUCCCUAGCUGGGCUGAGAGGAUGACCAGCCACACUGGAAAGGAGACACGGUCCAGACGCAUACGGGAGGCAGCAGUGGGGAAUAUUGCACAAUUGGCGCAAGCCUGAUGCAGGCAUGCCGCGUGUAUGAAGAAGGCCUUCGGGUUGUAAAGUACUUUAAGCGAGGAGGCGUUACUCGCAGAAGAAGCACCGGCUAACUCCGUGCCAGCAGACGGGGUGAUUC